GCCAGGAUAACAACAUUUUAUUACUCCUGCCCCAAUAACAAAGAGACUGGGGAUCCCACAGCAGCCAAAGUGACCAUUUGGGCAAGCAAUCCAUCAUGCUUGGCAGGGUGGGUGUGCCCAUGCAAACGAGAUCAGCCACUGAAGUGCUUUUCCACAGCUCACCACCAGAUGUCAGGGUAGAGCUCAUUCUGAUUCUGUUUACAUCUGUAAAAAAAAAAAUGCGACACCAAUGACAUAUGUGUUCCUUACUUAAAUCAUAAGACUUCCUGGUAAAGUCAGUAACAGAUUUGCUUUGGUCAGUGAAGAACUUUCUUCAUCACCCUGCUUUGCAGCUCUCAACAUUCACAAUUUUCUUCCUGGAAGACAGAAAGAAAAAGAGAACAACAGAACUAAAGAUGGAGGGGGAAUACACAAGCAAUGAACUACCAAAAGUCUGGAAGACAGAAUUUACAAAACUGCGUCCAAUCAUACCUCUUGUUUUUCAAGUUGCAGCUGCAAUUGCAAUGUUUAUACUUGGGUGUUUUGGUGAAGCAGGAAUUGGAGCACCAUGGUGGUGCGCAAUUAUGUUCCUUAUAUCUGGAUUGUCCCUACUUAUACUGGUGAAAAAACACUCAGUUCCUUGGGAAAAAUGCGCCUUUGUCACUAUAAUAUUGAGCAUAAUAACAGCAGUGGCUGGAACAAUUUAUUAUUCUCUGGAGUUUGCUUUGAUUAGAUCGCCUCAGAGCCCCUUUCCUCAUGACACCAGUGAUACUGAAAGAUUGGCACUAGCCUACAGAGUGGACUCAGCAGAACUUGGAUUAGCAGCCUUUGAGCUAGGAGUCUCUGUCUGGAUUUUGUGCCUGCUGCAGCGAGCAAGGAAGACAUUAAGGCAGUAGCUCUCAUUGUCAAAAAUAUCAUCUUUUUCAACAGGCUGCUGCCAUUGAUUUUGUUUUAUGGGGAUUGUUCAAUUUGUUUUAUGGGGAUUGUGCGCCGGUGUCAGUAUUAUUUAGCACGUAAGGGCCAUAGUCAAAACUCAUAUUUAAAUACAUGUAUGUUGGUACAUGCCACAUAUAUUUAGCUUGAUCUUACUUCCACUGAAGUCAAUGACAGAACUCCCAUUGACUUUAAUGGGAGCAGGAAUGGGACCCUUUACCAUGGUCUCUCCUCUGUCCUCACUUAUACCCAUGCAUGUCUCUUGAUAUUGUAAAGCACAGAGUGCAGAAUCUGACCCUACAUAUUUUAGGCCAGAUCCUCAAUUGAAGUCAAUGGAGCUAUGACAAUUUAUACCAACUGAGGAACUGGCCCUUAUAUAUAUAAAGACACUUAAAAUUAGCAAAAUGUUGGUACAUUUUCCUAAGGGUGAAAUUCAUCAAAAUGAAUAGGACCUGCACAAAGCCCAAUCCACCACUUGAGUCCCAUUCAGUCCCAGCACUAAACAAGGCAGCAAAACUAAUGCAAAUAGCAGAUCUCCAUCUGGUGAGCAUCAGCGUAGCUAGUACGUCUCUUUUAGCUAUUAUCCUUAUAUCAGCUGCUUAUCCACGACACCUGAUUCUGUGUACAAAUAAAUAUAAUGAAAAGUUGAUAUUGUCUCUAGUC
ensembl:lncRNA